AUGAUACACAGAAAAAUGCCAACCCUGGUUCCAUUGGCACAAGCUUCACCUUCAUUCACUGGAGCCUCAGCCCAUAGCCACCCAGGGAGGCAGGCAGGGCAGUGUUAACCUUCCCAUUUCACAAAUGAGAAAACUGAAUUGGCAUAUAAGUGAUUUGUACGUGGUUAAGAGUUAAGUCUUGAACCCAGGACAUCUGUCCAAUUCCAGUACUUUUUUUUUUGCAAGAUUUUACCUUCUGAAAAGAUCUCAAACUAACCCACGUGGCCUGGACAGCAGCCUUUUCCACUUGCCUCCUCCGACCUGCAGUCUGAAUUCCAUUCCCAGGGCAGGGCUUGCCCCAGGGAGGGGACCUCCUUCUAGAGCAUUCAAUGAAGCUGCAAGAUUGAGAGGAGUAUUCUGCAUCUUUUUAAAUGGCAAAAUAAACUGUUCAAAUAUCCACUGUUAAGGUAGAGGGGAAUGUGGUGUUGCAAGAAGAAAAUUGCCCUGCUAGCACAGAUGUGAGAAGACAACUCCCAGAGCAAUCAGCACCAUUACUUUCCCUUAACUCCCCAAGGUACCCUCCUUGCAUUUAUCUUUCUCUCCUACAUUGACCUUCACUGGAGAAUAAAAAUUAGAGAGAGUGAGGAAUUGCAUGUGAUUUGUACUGGGUUCCUGGAUCCACGCCCUCCUUCCUAGCCCUGUUCCUCCAGGCUGGCUCUACUGUGGCCUUAAUAAACAGAGGGUGGGAGCUGAUGAAGACAUGCAGAGAAGACUUGACUGCAGCCUGUGGUGUAGGCUGGCCUGGGAACAAGUCAGCAGAGGCACAUUCCAUCAGUUGGCAAUGUUAUGAGCAUAAUAACUUCCUUAAGUGAUACAGGUUGUAGUCUUGUAGCCUAAGUUCCACAAAGCUUCUUUAAAAUGUUUUAUAAGCAUGUUCAGCAAUGGCAGUUUACUAUUAGUAAUAUAAAUCAUAGGCCAGUCACAAUGUUGUUUUAAUAUUUUUAAUAUUCCCAAUUUUCUUACACUAAGUCU